ACGAGGAUGUAUGUUUUUUGUGUGUGCGUCAGAGAAGUGGUGACUGAAGAAACACCUUCUGAGGAAAAGUCUGCUUGCGGAGGCAGGAAAAGCAGCAUCGCCCUGCUGGCUAAAGGAUGAUGUCAUGCAUCUCUCGCAUAGAGUAUGUUGGUGCCUUUGUAUCCCAGAGAAUAGAAGAGAACCGCUCCCCGAGAGGUUCUACGCUCUGAGGGACUUGGAGGAAGUUGUUGCGCAGCGACCAAAAAUUAAUUUCGUUUUGCGAUAGGAAUGACAGGAGGAAAUAUGAACGGUUCGCUGGGACUCACUUCGUGACGAUGAAAAGACCCCGGAGGUUGCUCAAAUGUCUGAGUUGGGCGCUUACCGAUGUCGCAUUGACCCUCUGUUCUGCAUUGACAUUCAGAGUCAUGAAAACAGGAUCUGACUCACGGGAUAUAUCCUUAUCCGUCUUCAUAACUGCCUUGGUUAUCCUGAAGGAGUCACAGAGCACACUGACCAAUAGCGAAAUGGAGGAAAGAUACUGCAAGCAACAGCCGUGCUGGCGUUGGCACUUGGUCCUCUUGCAUUCACGUCUGAAUCACUUGACGUCCUGCAAGACUUCGUGGGCCAUCAUUGCACCAUGCGCUAUAAGAUAAAAAUUCGAGUUCGAAGCAAAUCCCAACUGAGUAUUCGUCCAAUUACAAGAUCAAGAACACUCUCGCCUUGUGGCCCCAGUAAUGGUCGGCAAAAUGCUACAUCAGUUGGUAACAAUACACGAACCUAACAGCCAAAAGUAUUCUUGUCAUCAGCUCCAGCGACGAUCCCGAUCCCGAUCCCGAUCUCCCCAAGUUGCUGAGCUAUUCCUGAACUGCGAAGAUGUAGCUUCGCCGAAACGGUACAAGCCCUCCAGCAUAAUCUUCUAUUUCUAGAUCAGCUCUACAAUAUGGUGGACACAGCACUACUAUAGGACUGCUCAUCUGCACUCCACAUAAUGAAAAUAUUUGCGUAGUAUAUAGUCGAUAAUGACAUAAUCAUUCGUUUAAAAACACA